AUUGAACGCUGGCGGCAGGCCUAACACAUGCAAGUCGAACGAGUGGCGGACGGGUGAGUAAUGUCUGGGAACCUGCCUGAUGGAGGGGGAUAACUACUGGAAACGUUAGCUAAUCCCGCAUACCAUCAGAUGUGCCUAGAUGGGAUUAGCUUGUUGGGGGGGUAACGGCUCACCAAGGCGACGAUCCCUAGCUGGUCUGAGAGGAUGACCAGCCACACUGGAACUGAGACACGGUCAGGACUCCUACGGGAGGAAGAAGUGGGGAAUAUUGGAAAAUGGGCGCAAGCCGGAUGCAGCCAGGCCGGGGGUAGGAAGAAGGCCUUCGGGUGGUAAAGUACUUUCAGCGGGGAGGCGUUACCCGCAGAAGAAGCACCGGCUAACUCCGUGCCAGCAGCCGCGGUAAUUC
rnacentral:rRNA from 1 species